UAUUGCACAAAGGGGGAAACCCUGAUGCAGCGACGCCGCGUGAGCGAGGAAGUAUUUCGGUAUGUAAAGCUCUAUCAGCAGGGAAGAAAAUGACGGUACCUGACUAAGAAGACCCGGCUAACUAAGUGCCAGCAGCCGCGGUAAUACGUAGGGGGCAAGCGUUAUCCGGAUUUACUGGGUGUAAAGGGAGCGUAGACGGAAUUGAAAGUCUGAUGUGAAAAUCCGGGGCCCAACCCCGGAACUGCAUUGGAAACUGUAUUUCUAGAGUGUCGGAGAGGAAAGUGGAAUUCCUGGUGUAGCGGUGAAAUGCGUAGAUAUCAGGAGGAACACCAGUGGCGAAGGCGGCUUGCUGGACGAUGACUGACGUUGAGGCUCGAAAGCGUGGGGAGCAA
rnacentral:rRNA from 1 species